UGUCUGUCUGUCUGUCUGUCUGUCUGUCUGUCUGUGUGAAUCACUUACUUUAAGAGGCAAUUGUUUGAGGAUGUAGCCCAGAGCCCAAGGAGCCAGAAACUUUGGGUUCUGGCUACAAACUGGAGGAAAGAAGGGGAGAGGCCAGGAGGAUCUGCCUUCAGGAUGUACCCAGACCUUUGUCUGGCUGCCUUAGACAGGUGCCCUGUAGGUGGCAGGCACCAAUUGCCUGGUGUAUUAUAGCAGGACUGCAAUAUACCCUGUCUCAGACCUGCCACCUCCAUCCCCACACUGGCCCUCAGUUCCUUCAGAGUCCAUGCCCUCAUUCCAUGACUGGCAUCCAUUCCAAGGACUGGCAUCACCUUUAUUUAUCUCCAGUCACAGUUCUGUGUGCAUGUCCCUGGCCACAUCUCUCCAGCAGAGCAUCCUCUGUUGUUUCCAUAAGUCGUGCUGGGAUGCCUUGCCCAGAGCUUGUCUUUCCGGCCUCAUCCUGGGUCCUGUGAGGGGAGAGUGCGUCAGACCUACAGAUCAAACUCCUUUUGCAAACCAAACAUCUUGUGGAGCCUCUUUUGCCUUGAAUCAUCUUUAUUUUAUUUUUUUUAUAAAACAGGAAAUGAUUCUAUUUAGAAAAAAAUUAAAAA
rnacentral:lncRNA from 1 species